GAGCUUGCCUCGGCAGCACAUAUACUAAAAUUGAAGUGAUACAGACAAGAUUAGCAUGGCCCCUGCACAAGGAUGACACGCAAAUUCGUGAAGCAUUCCAUAUUUUU